AAGCUGAAAUCGGACGCUUAACCGACUGAGCCCCCCAGGCGCCCCUACCACCCACCUUUAAGUGCUCAAGAAAAAGUGGUUUCAAUGUCACACUGACUCAGCCGAGCGUUACUAAACAAAGUCCUCGUGUUUGUGACCACAGCCUUCUGUGUUCACAGAGCCUCUGAUUUUGCAGAACCAGCAAUAAUCAGGGUUAUGGCGACCCCAUCACGGGAUGGACUCGCUCACUUGUGCCAGAACUAAUUCCCAAAACGUCUGGGGCACUGUUGUCACAGUUGGGAGGCGGGGCAAAGAUGCAGGAGGCUUGGGGUCCACCCCGAUUUGCUCCGGGCCCCUGGCAGGGGGAGGGGGGGGACACGGCAAAGAAAACUAUAAUUGGGAAGUCACACAGAGCGUUGGGUGUUGAGGGACGACCCGCUUCUGUCCAGGACCAUGUUUCCAGCCUCAUAUCUGAGCUUCAGCCGCCCAGACGCACACUGGGUUUCCUGGUAGCCCGUGGAGUAGACAAUCUUGAUGGUGCCGUCAGGGUAUUCCCUCCUCUUGAAGCAGGACGUUUGAAUCUCCCUCUGCCUGUUGCUGAACACAAUGGUUCUGUCGCCGUUCCUGACGGGGAAGAGUAGCCUGGUACAAAGUCGUCAUCGAUCCCAGAGCAGCUUGGGCUUCCGAACGCCUUUGACCCUUAACUGUUGUCAACCUCCGCUUCUGGUUUUCCACAGUGACUCGGGGUGUCAGACCAGGAAAUGUGGUAAAGAUCCUGACUCCCUCCAUAGUGGCCUCCAUGGAUGACGCUGACUUACAACCUGAUGCAAGAGGCAGAACACUUAGGGAUGUCUGGUGGGCUCAGUCCGUAGAGCAUGCAACUCUCGAUCUCAGGGUCAUGAGUUCAAGCCCCACUUUGGGCGUGAAGCCAAAAAAGAGGGGCGCCC